GUCAAGGAAGUGGAGGGAGGUUGGGGAGAGAGAAGGUGAGGGAUAGGAGAGCCAAGGAAGUGGAGGGAGGUUGGGAGAGAGAGAAGGUGAGGGAUAGGAGAGCCAAGGAAGUGGAGGGAGGUUGGGAGAGAGAGAAGGUGAGGGAUAGGAGAGCCAAGGAAGUGGAGGGAGGUUUGGAGGUAGACAAGGUGAGGGAUAGGAGAGCCAAGGAAGUGGAGGGAGGUUGGGAGAGAGAGAAGGUGAGGGAUAGGAGGGCCAAGGAAGUGGAGGGAGGUUGGGAGAGAGAGAAGGUGAGGGAUAGGAGAGCCAAGGAAGUGGAGGGAGGUUGGGAGAGAGAGAAGGUGAGGGAUAGGAGGGCCAAGGAAGUGGAGGGAGGUUGGGAGAGAGAGAAGGUGAGGGAUAGGAGAGUCAAGGAAGUGGAGGGAGGUUGGGAGAGAGAGAAGGUGAGGGAUAGGAGAGCCAAGGAAGUGGAGGGAGGUUGGGAGAGAGAGAAGGUGAGGGAUAGGAGGGCCAAGGAAGUGGAGGGAGGUUGGGAGAGAGAGAAGGUGAGGGAUAGGAGAGACAAGGAUGUGGAGGGAAUUUAGGAGAGAGAGAAGGUGAGGGAUAGGAGAGCCAAGGAAGUGGAGGGAGGUUGGGAGAGAGAGAAGGUGAGGGAUAGGAGGGCCAAGGAAGUGGAGGGAGGUUGGGAGAGAGAGAAGGUGAGGGAUAGGAGAGCCAAGGAAGUGGAGGGAGGUUGGGAGAGAGAGAAGGUGAGGGAUAGGAGGGCCAAGGAAGUGGAGGGAGGUUGGGAGAGAGAGAUGGAAACGGAGAGGGGAGAAAGGGGGAAACGGAUAACCAAGACUAAUUACAGAGGUCUUUAAUGGAAUCCAAUCUAAUGACAGGAAAACGUCUUCCUCUCUUUUUCCAUUCGUCCCUCUCGAUCCCUCUUUCUCUUCAUCUCUUUCUCUCCCUCCAUCAGGAAUUAUUGACUAUGACUUUUUGUCCUUAUGAUCUAUUUUCUAUCUAACUGCUACUUGUGUGGUAACGAGCAUCCCUUUAACGAACCAUUUAAUCAACGACCAUAAUACAUACUAAACACCACACACGCACACACACACACACACACACACACGUGCACACACAACACACACUCUCCAUGUAGUAUGCCUACCUUUUAACACACACACAUACACACACACCAUGGCAACAUAAACACGCUACAACAAAAUACACAGCAAACACACAAACACACACACACAUAAAAUAGCACACAAUAUCGCGCAGCAUUCUAUAGUAGACUAUAAAACACUAUAGUACAGCCUAUACUAUAGCCUAUUACUGCCAAGCAGACAAUGCACUAAGUCCAACUGAAAAGAACAUACUGCCAGGCAUUUAUUACUUGACGCAGAGCAUAGACACGGUCCAAGGAAACACUACUGCCAUAUUUCCUUAUGCACACAUGUUCCCAAAACUCUGUUUUAAUGAAUGUAUGCUGUACAUUUCAAACCACAAGCACACCGUUUGCACAGGGGCACAGAUAUGCCUAAACCCACACACACAUGCUGAACCACAUCCACAUGCAGACACACACACAGACACAUACAUACACGCUGAACCACAUCCACAUGCGGACACACACACACACACACACAUACACGCUGAACCACAUCCACAUGCGGACACACACACACACACAUACACGCUGAACCACAUCCACAUGCGGACACACACACAGACACAUACACGCUGAACCACAUCCACAUGUGGACACACACACACACACACACACAUACACGCUGAACCACAUCCACAUGCGGACACACACACACACACACACAGACACAUACACGCUGAACCACAUCCACAUGCGGACACACACACACUCACACACACACAUACACGCUGAACCACAUCCACAUGCGGACACACACACACACACAGACACAUACACGCUGAACCACAUCCACAUGUGGACACACACACACACACACAUACACGCUGAACCACAUCCACAUGCGGACACACACACACACACAGACACAUACACGCUGAACCACAUCCACAUGCGGACACACACACACACACACACACAUACACGCUGAACCACAUCCACAUGUGGACACACACACACACACACACACACAUACACGCUGAACCACAUCCACAUGCGGAGACACACACACACACACACACAUACACGCUGAACCACAUCCACAUGCGGACACACACACACACACACACACACACAGACACAUACACGCUGAACCACAUCCACAUGUGGACACACACACACACACACACACACAUACACGCUGAACCACAUCCACAUGUGGACACACACACACACACAUACACGCUGAACCACAUCCACAUGCGGACACACACACAGACACAUACACGCUGAACCACAUCCACAUGCGGACACACACACACAGACACAUACACGCUGAACCACAUCCACAUGUGGACACACACACACACACAUACACGCUGAACCACAUCCACAUGCGGACACACACACACACACAUACACGCUGAACCACAUCCACAUGCGGACACACACACACAGACACAUACACGCUGAACCACAUCCACAUGCGGACACACACACACACACACACAUACACGCUGAACCACAUCCACAUGCGGACACACACACACACACACACACACAUACACGCUGAACCACAUCCACAUGCGGACACACACACACACACAUACACGCUGAACCACAUCCACAUGCGGACACACACACAGACACAUACACGCUGAACCACAUCCACAUGUGGACACACACACACACACACACACAUACACGCUGAACCACAUCCACAUGCGGACACACACACACACACACACAGACACAUACACGCUGAACCACGUCCACAUGCGGACACACACACACUCACACACACACAUACACGCUGAACCACAUCCACAUGCGGACACACACACACACACAGACACAUACACGCUGAACCACAUCCACAUGUGGACACACACACACACACACACAUACACGCUGAACCACAUCCACAUGCGGACACACACACACACACAGACACAUACACGCUGAACCACAUCCACAUGCGGACACACACACACUCACACACACACAUACACGCUGAACCACAUCCACAUGCGGACACACACACACACACACACACAUACACGCUGAACCACAUCCACAUGUGGACACACACACACACACACACACACACACACACAUACACGCUGAACCACAUCCACAUGCGGAGACACACACACACACACACACAUACACGCUGAACCACAUCCACAUGCGGACACACACACACACACACACACAGACACAUACACGCUGAACCACAUCCACAUGUGGACACACACACACACACACACACAUACACGCUGAACCACAUCCACAUGUGGACACACACACACACACACACACACACAUACACGCUGAACCACAUCCACAUGCGGACACACACACACACAGACACAUACACGCUGAACCACAUCCACAUGCGGACACACACACACAGACACAUACACGCUGAACCACAUCCACAUGUGGACACACACACACACACACACACAUACACGCUGAACCACAUCCACAUGCGGACACACACACACACAUACACGCUGAACCACAUCCACAUGCGGACACACACACACACAGACACAUACACGCUGAACCACAUCCACAUGCGGACACACACACACAGACACAUACACGCUGAACCACAUCCACAUGUGGACACACACACACACACACACACAUACACGCUGAACCACAUCCACAUGCGGACACACACACACACAUACACGCUGAACCACAUCCACAUGCGGACACACACACACAGACACAUACACGCUGAACCACAUCCACAUGUGGACACACACACACACACACACAUACACGCUGAACCACAUCCACAUGCGGACACACACACACACACAGACACAUACACGCUGAACCACAUCCACAUGCGGACACACACACACACACACACAUACACGCUGAACCACAUCCACAUGCGGACACACACACAGACACACACACACAAUCUACCAAAGUGCUCUCUCUCAAAUGGACUACAAAAGAGAGGCAGAAGAGGAUGUCACUGGGGAGAUGGGAAGAGGAGUUUCAGAUUUCCUGACAAUGUUUUUCAAGGAACAUUGGAUUUGGACUAGUACUAGUGCUUUGUGGAUGGCACUUUUCACUGUGCUCAAUGGACUGCCAUAGACAGGGAAUGAAGGAAUAUUAACCAGACAAAGGAUUACAGGCCAUGGCAAGAGAGAAACGGUUGCUUACAAAACUUAACCCUAUAGAGGGAGAGACUAUAUAUCUGAGAGAAUAAUUAUUAUGAUGUGAUGGAAUAAGAUUUCUAUUUCUACGGAGACCCUUUUGAAAACUGUCUUAUAGUGACAUUCUGUGGCCGGAAUAGUGAAUUACACCCGCUUGGAAUAUUGUACUGUACAGUAUGCUGUUACUGAAAUCUACAUAGCUUUGUAUUGCUCAGUCUUUUCUACCAUUACGAUUUAACGGUUAUAGCUAAUAUCUACUAUUAUUAUACUAUAGUAUUCUUCUCAUUCGUCCUGACAAUUAUGAUAAAUGUAUUAAUAAUCAACUUUAAUAAUAAUAAAUAAUGGACAAGGGAGGUGCGUUUGAGGGUGAAAUGAUUUUGUAUUUUUAUUUUAUCAGAGAUAAUUAAUAAAGUAUAUAUCUAUAUAACAUCACUGUUAUUGGGUGAA